CGUGCCACGAAACAAUCUUCCGAGUUCCGGCUUCCCUAACAAGUUUCACAAAACAGAUGAAAUCUACGGGGUACAGUACCAAAUAACCGAGAUCCUCUCACGGUUACCUGUUAAAUCAGUUGUACGCUUCAAAUGCGUCUGCAAAUUCUGGAAUUCCAUAAUCAAAACCCCCAAUUUCAUCAAACUUCACCUCAAUCAAACCCUAAUUUCCAACUCCGAUCGUCAUCUCAUCUUCUGUAACGGUCUCUUCAUUCUGCAGAACUCGACCAUGACAACAUCUCCUUCUCGGAGGUCCAGCUCCCUCUCUCAACUCGGGAAUUUAAGGUGUUUGGGUCUUGCAUUGGCAUCAUUUGCAUUGCCAACAAUGAUGAAAUCUUGUUGUUCAACCCACUUACCAAAUCACAUUUUCAGGUGUCUAUCCCUAAGCCUAACAGGGUUACACGAUCUAUGUUGGGGUUUGGGUACGACAGUAAGAGCGAAGAUUACAAGAUUUUGAAGUUGUCACAUUCAGAUGAUAUGGAUUGGAAAUCUGUUGAAGCGAAAUUGUAUAGUCGCAAUUAUAAUUCCUGGAAAUCUGUUCAAGGUAUCUAUGGUUUUUCCUUGAUGUUGAUUGGCAUGUUGGUGUUCUGUUAAUGAGGCUUUACAUUUCUUGGGGGGCUCCGAGCAAACUGAGUACAUAAUAGCUAGCUUUGAUCUUCAGACUGAGAGUUUCUUGUUUAUCGACUGCCCAAAAUUGAUUAAUUAUUAUAGUGAGUUUGCUAUGACGACGCAGUUAACGGAAUUGGGUGGAUGUCUAUGUGCUUUUGUUAAUUAUUUUGAACUUACAGAGGAUGAAAUGCAUUUUAUAAAAAUCUAUAUAUGGGUAAUGAAGGAGUAUGGAAACAACGAGUCUUGGGUUAGAUUGUUUAGUAUUGGCAAUGAGUGUAUCCCGAGAUUAUCAUGGAUUAUGCCUAUUGUUUACUCCAAAGAUGGGAAAAAAAUUUUGUUGGACAUAUACAUAUCGGAGUUUGGUUGGUAUGAUUUGGAGUCCAAAAAAAUUAAGGCAAUCAAACCUCAUGGAUUGCCAAAGAGACCAACAAUGGGGUAUCAUGUGGGGUGUUUUGUGGGCAGCCUUGUUUCGAUCGAAGACAAGCUGCAAUCCGAAAGGGAAACCUUGCCAAUGAUAAAGAAGAAAAGUAUUGUUGAUAAUGUUCAAGUGGAGGCUAUGACCUAAUUGAAGAUGCUACUGCUGGGACUUUGUUUGAAUGUGUGUAAUUUGUAGGAAAGGACAACAUGGCUUCCACGAGAAAAACCAUUAAUAGGGAGUGCAGUGUGGAGGAGGGGGAAGCAACGAUGAUACAGUGAUCCUUGUUGAUGCCCUUUACUUUUGUCUGGUGAUUGGGUCUGCCUGCUUCCCUUGUUCCCUCUUGAUGAUGUGCACGGUUCUCUAAUUGCUGGUGUAACUUCCCGCGUGAUGCAUAUAAAUUAGACUGACCAUUGAAAUAGUGAUCCUUGUUGAUGCCCUUUACUUUCCUUUAAUAGUCUGAGAGGAUUGUUGGGUCUUGCCAACCAUUUAUCAAAAGUCAUUCUAGUGCCUCCUUAAUUGCCAGGGUAUCAUACUAUCAUCUGCCACAGUAGAAUCUAGGCUUGGCUUACAAUUCACAUUAGUCAGUUGCUUUGUAAAUGCCACGGAUUCAAACUUUUAACAUCUAUAGGGACAUGUAGUUAGGCUAAUACAAAAUUACUGUACUCUUGUGCAAUAACCUUCUCUUUGAAAAGAAUCAAAUUGAUCUGUUGGAUUGAUGUUGGCUGGGCUGUAAGCUAAAAAGAAAUUCUGAUACUUCGUAUUACCUUUACUACUACUACAAAUAAUAAAAGACCAAUCUUAGACCUUUUUAUGCAUGAUUUUUUCAAAGCCACAAACUCGAUGGAAUGGAAAACAUUGUCUCCUCCUCUCAUCUUCAAAGAAAUAAUUGAAAAAUAAAAGAGAGGGAAGAUUAGGCUAGGAUAUAACUUAUAUUCAAAGUAAAGCUAGGAGUGGAAAAGCAUUCCAACAGAACAUUAAAUUGCAUAGUGGGUUACUCUGUCAAAUUGGUUUGUGCUAUAGACUGAAAAUCUGGUUUGUAUAAAUUAAUGAAUAAGAGUAAAUUUAAGGUGAAAGCUUAAUUUAUAAUGGCAAAAAGGGGUUACAAAUGAUAGGUCCAGAGCUUUAAGCUAUUACUCUCUUAUGAUAAGUAACUUUAGGUUAUCACUCUCUUAGUAACUUGAGGUUACCAUUCUCUCUUAUUUCACAUUACAAAUUUCAUGCCUUUUAAUACUAUUACUCCUUAUAUUAUCACGCAAGCUACACUAGAAUGGAGGAAGUAUAAAUUAACUUUGUAACUCUUCAACAGAGUAUCAAACCAGCAGGUUUUUGUUACUCCUUCCCUUAGUGUUUCAUUGAUGAGUUUUGUCCUCUGCUUCCGAUUACACUUGGGUGGCAAGUCCAUUGAGUCUAUCACAGCUUGUUGAUAAGUAAAUUGAGAAUAAGAUGUUUCCUGUUUGUGAGAGUAUCAAAUCGAAUAGUUGUGCUAUUUUUUAUUUGUGAAUUAUCUAUUAAAUAAUUAUAUGGAAUUAUUGAUUGAUGCUCCCUAAUUUAACUUCUCUUCAAAUUGUGGCUUAUGCUUUAAGUUGACAUGGAUCUACUAGACUAAGAAGGCCCUUUGUUUCAGGGAGUGUUGUUUGUUUUAGGUGCCUUGAGCCUGCAAGAAGCCAAGUUAGUGCUUCCUUGGUAGAAAACAUAUACUUUUAGAUUGUAUCGCUAAAAUGUUCAUGAUAUGUCUUCCUGAUAUUAAAAACUUCGUCUUUUUGCAGUGUAGGGAAAUUGUAUCGCUAAAAUGUUCACUUUUAGUUGUUUUCAUGACCAUUGGAGAAGCAGCUAGAUGAUUUUGCAUGAAGACCAUUGCAAGUAGUUUUAAGGUGGCUAUAUUUUGUUAUACUUUUAUUAUCACCUAAUUAAAGGGGUGAAUAUUUUCUGGUAGCUACAGUUUUUUGGUGCUAUUCUAAUGUGCAAUGGAUAAUUGGAUACUGCACUUUGUACUAGUGUGUAGGUUAUGGUGUCAUCUAAUUCCCUAGUUCUUUUGAGCUUCUACAAACUCUGCUGUGAUGUAUGAAUGUUCCUAGCAGUGAAACUUGAUUAAAACUGAACAAGCUGCUCUUUGCUGAUGUACAAGUAUUUGAUUUAACAUCACAUUACACAUUUUUA